UACGAAGGGGGCUAGCGUUGCUCGGAAUUACUGGGCGUAAAGGGCGCGUAGGCGGACAGUUUAGUCAGAGGUGAAAGCCCAGGGCUCAACCUUGGAAUAGCCUUUGAUACUGGCUGUCUUGAGUUCGGGAGAGGUGAGUGGAAUGCCGAGUGUAGAGGUGAAAUUCGUAGAUAUUCGGAAGAACACCAAGUGGCGAAGGCGGCUCACUGGCCCGGUACUGACGCUGAGGUGCGAAAGCGUGGGGAGCAAACAGGG
rnacentral:rRNA from 1 species